rnacentral:miRNA from 1 species
AGAAUAAUUUCACUUACUUUCAUCUUCUGCAGUGAUGUAGAAGUUGGGUAUCCUAUUUCAUCACCGCACUAGUAUGUACUAGGACUAAAAGGAGCUCCU